GGGGCGGGACGCAGGUGAGCGAUGGCCUCGGGCUGGGUUGAGGUCUUUUGAUCUACUUGAGGUAAAUCCCCUGCUGUAGGAUAACACGUCGAGCUAAAGGAGGAGAAAGCAAGACCGUGAAGGACGCGUAUCAGCCCCGGCUCUGCCCCUGGCAGCUUCCUGCUAAAGCAGACCCCAGCAGGCAGCAGUUGAUGGCUUACCUGAUAGGAUUCCUGCCACCCACGUGGAGACCUGGAUUGGGUUCCACAGGCAGGGAGGUUGUGUCUUGGGAUGCACCCCCCUUGGAAUCUUUUGAUUCUGAACAUCUUGGGAGAAGACCUGGUGAGGAGGAGUCAGGUGUACUCACCACGAUAGUGGAGAAAAGCUGAAAUUCUUUACAUACACAGAAAAGUGUAAGGAGUAAUGUAAUGAACAUUUCUGGACUCACUGCUCAGCUUAAGAUCUAGAAUAAUUAAAAUAGAGUUGACAUUUAAAAGUGUGAGCAUGCCAGAAUUUUUAGUAAAAGUAGUUUAGUUCCUACCAAGCUUUAAAAGAUUUUAUGAUUUUAAAGUUAAUAUUUAGAUCCUUAUUAAAUAUUUGGAAAAUACUGAAAAGUAUAAUGAAAAAAUCACAGCAUCUGGAGGUAUUCACUAAGAAUAUUCUGGUUUUGUCUCAUUUUUAUUUAUCCAUAAAUACUUAUGAAUGAGUACAUGUAUAAGUCUUUUUAAAAAUAAAACAAAUGUGGGGCCAGUGCUGUGGUGUAGCAGGUAAAGCCGCCGCCUGCAGUGUUGGCAUUCAAUAUGGGUGUUGGUUUGAGUCCUGGCUGCUCCACUUCCAAUCCAGCUCUCUGCUAUGGCCUGGGAAAGCAAUGGAAGAUGGCCCAAGUCUUUGGGCCCCUGCACCCAUGUGGGAGACCUAGAAGAAGCUCCUGGCUCCUGGCUAUGGAUUGGCUCAGCUCUGGCCAUUGUGGCCAUUUGGGGAGUGAAAGAGUGGAUGGAAGACCUCCCUCUCUCUGUUUGUAAUUCUGCCUCUCAAGUAAAUAAAUAAAUCUAAAAACAAGAGAGAGAGAGAGAAAUUUGUUGAGACUUGCCUAAGAACCUAG